CGGAACUGCCCGGGAAGCGGGAAGCGGGACCCGGGGAGCUCGAGUUGGGGCCAGAAUCCGGCGGCAGGAGUGAGGGGGCCGAGCAGGAGAGGGAGACACUGCUGGGUCGUCCCGGCCUCGGCGCGUCCAGAAGACCCCCUCGGUCUCACAAUCCCAGACCCAGGAACAACCGCCCACCUCAAGCCAUCACGCCGCUCAGCCUCAACGGCGACCAGCCCGGCCCCGGCCCGUGCCGCGCUCACCGCCCAUGGUCCCGGCCUGGCCCGGCCCGGCCCGCCUCCGGCUUCGCGGCUCCAAGGCUCCGCGGCUCCGGGGCUCCGAGCAGAUUCGGCUCCGCCUGGCGCUUAGGGUGGUAAGGACAGCGCGCACGGACCGCGCGCACAGACAGCGGGACAGUUGUCCCACCAGGUCUACAGCGCCCCCUGUAGACCUCGCCGCGGUCCGCGCUCGGCCCGCCCCACGCCAGGCGCCCUAGAGCUCCGCCCCGCAGGCGGGGAGGUGGGAGGCCCUGCGGCCCGACCGGGGAGAAGGGCGCAGCAGGGGCUGCAGAGAGGACCCUUGACUUUUUGAUGCCAAACGCAGCCCCCAAAGACCGGCCAGUCUGCAGAGCCCCCGGCGAGGGGAAGCUACGGUAACGGGCGUCUGAGUGCGCAGGCACCGCGGCCACAGUGCAAGCAGGGCUUCUGCGCGCCUCACAACGCGGGACUGGGGAUCAGGGAUUACUCCGACGCACGUCUAGGCCGGGGCAAAGCCCCGGUCAAACCCCGCACAAACCCCGCCCCGGGCUGGGCCCCUAGUGUGGGUGCAUUUGGGCCGUGUGCAUGGCCUGGCGCCGCUUUGAUCACGGCGUUAGGCUGGGCGCGUAUGUUUGUGGUCCGCCACUGCUGUGUGACUGCUGCCGCGUGGACGCAAUCUGCCACGAUUCUCGCCACCAUGUCCCCCAUCCCCCCUUCACCUACUCCACGCUUCUCUUCCGGUGCCGACCACAUCCGGCCCCGUGGAGACCUGGCUGCCACUCUGUUUAGGGAUGGGCUGCAGGCUUCCCCGAGAAGUAGCCGUCCCCAAAGCCUGCCUCCCUGCCUCGCGGCUUCCUCGGAAGCUGCUGAAGAUUGACACAGCAUUUGACCUAUUUCUAUAACUCAGGCAUCGGAGAAUUGAGCUUGAUUUGAUGCCAUACAUUUCUUUCAAAUGGUGUCAGAAGUCUGCAGUGACACUUGUAUGCCUUAUGUGGCCUUGAGCAAAAUAGACACUGAUUUUUACCUUCCAGGCACACUUUCUGGAGGAGCUAGUCAUUGGCCUCUAAUUUCACUCCUGUGUUCAGGGCUCCCAAACCCAUGUUCUACGCCCACAUAUUUUACCCACAUUUCUACCUACUCUCUGGUUUUCUGCUUUGAACUUCCCAUCUCAAACCAGGGCUUCUUUUACCAAAUUCUCUCUCUUCCCAGCUCCCAAACUCAUCUACCCUGUGAUCUAACCAUUCCCCCAGCCACCUGGAUGUCUUCCUCACCUGAAGGCUCAGUGUCCAGUCAGUGUUUGCUUCCAAACCCAGCAAACCUGCCUUUCUCACCUCAUUCCUGUGAUGCUACCCUGUCCUCAGCUCCGUCCUGUCCUGACUGCUGACACAGCCCCUCCCAGUGAACCAUGUAUCUCCCAGCACAAAGACACCUGUCCUCUUCAGCAUCACUCAGACUUUCCCACGUGACUCUCAGUCCCCACCUCCAUACCCAACACUUCUUCCUGCUCCAGGUUCCUCCUGAUGGUCCUCCCACUAGUUCCAGGGUCCAUCCCUUGCUGGAGCUGCCUCCCUCUUCCCUAUAGGAGUUAGCCAGGUCACCUUCUGCUGUAAAUGACAGACAACCCAACUCACACUUGCUUUAACAAGAAAAAAAAAAAAGAAUUGACCAGCUCAUAUAAAUGAAGAGCCUAGGAUUAGUUCUGGGGACUGAAGACCAGGGACUCCGCCUCAGCUUUGCUUCCUUCCAUGUGCACUGGACUCUCUCUCAGGCGCCAUGUGAGACCCCGGCAGAUCCAGGCUCACGACCUCACCACCACAAGUCCACCAGAAAAAUGGCUUCUCUUUGCCAACCAGCCCAACGAGCCUUGGGCUUGAUUCUGAUCGGCAGGAUAGAGUUACCUGUCCAUCCUGCUCUCCCAGCCACUGUGGCCCCGUAGCGUGUGGUUCCCUCUCAGCCACCUUCUCUUCUUCCACAGGGAACAUGGGGCUGCUCCUGGAUCUCUUCUCUGUCACAAAGGGACUGAAGAUGACUCAGGGACACCAUGUGGAACCAUUUCCACACAAAAUGUUCCUCAUCACCACUUUACUUUGCAGUAUUCGCAUAGGGCGUCCUGGGGCAGAGUUCCAACCAGGAAGUGGGGCACAGGUGCUGUCUGCUUUCAGCUUCCUCCUCAACCCACCUGGGAUGUCUGUGUCCCAUAUCCCUCCCGAGGCUGAGACCUGGCACAGAGGUGGCCUCAGGCUCCUCAGGGAACCUGGCAUACUCUCUCUAGACUCGUUCUCUCCAUCUCUUUCCUCACCAUCCCAUCCCUGACAGAUUCUGUGCUCCCUUCUGUUCUGGAGAAGGUGGUCCCCUCCUGCCUCUCUGUGGAUUUUGGCUUCUGAGUGGUACCCACCCUCACCUUCCCCUGACCCUUAGGGCAAUAAUAACACCUCAUGGCUGAGCCAUGAAAGAGGAUAGAGCUAUAAGAAAAGAAAAAGAAAAGGUUCCUACAGGGAAAAUCUAUAUGGGAAGCAUCACAAGACCAUUAGCCCCAUCAAACUUAUUCCCUCUGUGGUUGUUGAGGAGGUAGGAUGCAGCCAGUGGCCAUCUGGCCAUCACCUGGGGAGGCUAUGUUAGAGAUUGUGGCUGACCCAAAGGAAAGAGGAGUCGAGACAGGCUGCUUUCCGUCGUGCCUGACAUCAGGACCUGGAUUUUUCCAUUACAUGUCCAGUAAAUCUGCUUUCCCCCAAACAAAUUAGAGUUGGUUUUUCUGUCACUUGCAAACAAGAGAGUCCUGAGUAGUCCAAGCCUAUAGCUCAGUGCCUGGCAUCAUCAUUCGUCUGAUGGAGGAGCGAGCACACCCACUGAUGGCUGUAAAACAUUAGAAAUGAAAAAAUACAGUGUUUUUGGCUCAUAACCAUGGUCUCCCCUUCUGUUCCCUGCUCCUUUGUCAUUUCCCCAUACAUAUCUUGGCCCCAGGGAAACUCUCAAAAUUCACUGGAAGCUGAACCCACCCAUCUGAUACCCAAGUCAUGCAUAUGUGUUUUACACACCCAAUCCCUGCCUAGACAGAGAGCAGAUAGGAACAGGGCUCAUCUUCAAUUCAGUUUCAA